rnacentral:rRNA from 1 species
AGUUCCUACGGGACGCAGCAGUGGGGAAUAUUGCACAAUGGGGGAAACCCUGAUGCAGCGACGCCGCGUGAGUGAAGAAGCAUUUCGGUAUGUAAAUCUCUAUCAGCAGGGAAGAAAAAGGACGGUACCUGACUAAGAAGCCCCGGCUAACUACGUGCCAGCAGCCGCGGUAAUACGUAGGGGGCAAGCGUUAUCCGGAUUUACUGGGUGUAAAGGGAGCGUAGACGGCGCGGCAAGUCUGAAGUGAAAGGCAGGGGCUUAACCCCUGAACUGCUUUGGAAACUGCCAUGCUAGAGUGCUGGAGG